rnacentral:lncRNA from 1 species
CGGUCCCCAGAUGCGAGCACUGCCAAACAGCCAAAAGGAGGGGUCCUGCCUGCCGAGGCCCAUCUGCUGGAGCUGAUCCAAGGCCAAGGCUGGUGAUGGCUGAGGCCCUGAGACCCUAAGACCCCAGCAUCUGCACAGGGCAGUCAUCGUGGGUUAUCCCCAGGCACCUGGCCUCCACCAUGUGAGGAGCAGGGAAUUAGGGAAAAAAAACUAAAAGUCCAGGAAUUUAUGCAAAAGAAGUUGCAUCGCCCAAGAGAGAUAGCUUGGAAGGAAGUACUGCAAUACCAGCAAUGAAUGACUAAAAUCGCCCCCCGCUAUGUGGAAGGUGGGAGCCCUCAGAGAGAUUAUGCUGGUGACAGAGAACAACGAAGCUCCCCCAGUGCCUAAGGCCACCCUUGACCUGUUCUUCACGUGUCCAGCCUACUCUCCCAGCUCUGCUCAGAUCUUCCAGCACAAAGCCCUGGACAAGUGUAAACCCAGCAAGACCUGCCUCUCAGGCUGCCCAGAGACCAGGAGUGCACCUGCUGUGCUAGGAGAUGACACAAGGUGACUGUGAGGCUGCCACUCUCGUGGUGUUUGCUGUCUUAGGUGACGGAGGCUGCAUAUGCUCCACCCUGGGGACGCAGGAGCCUGCAAGAGCCCCGUGCCUGUGCUGCAGGCAUCCUGGGACGGCGCUGCAUCAGGGACGUUUUGCGCCUCCUUCCGGCCCCCUCUUUCCCUUUUCUCAUUCCCACCUCCUUCUCCCAGCUCAGAGGUGUGUGAGUCUCAGCCACUCCCCAAAGCAAAACCCUCAUAGUUAGCCAGGGACCCAGGCAGGGGUCUGGCAAGGCCCCCUCCCACCUCUCAGACUCUUCUGUCUCCAGAGGCAGAACGUGCACGUGGGCAUCACAUUGACUUUGGGGACUUGCCUUCACCCCAGGGCGCUCCAGUCUGGUGGAUGCUGACUCUGACCACACCUGGGAACCAGUCUACACCUGGGUCUCAGCUCGUAGUGACAGUCCCUGCCAGCCCCGAGAUUUCCAGGGGCAGCACCGCCCCUGAGGUACAUGGACCCCACCGCCGUCCACACAGCGCACACCCACACGUGUAUCCGAAUCUGCGAGCAGCAUAUGUGCUGUGGGUACAGGUGCUGCAACCUUAGCUGACGGAUUAUGAAACUGAGCCUGCAGAUCUGAGCCCGUUGUCCGAGAUCCGUGCUCUCAUUUCCUAAUCCACUUCCAAAAGCCAUUUUCCCAUACUAAGGGCAAGACUUUCAGCCAGACACUAGGAGGAUUUGAAGAGAAAGAAGCUACAGUCUUUGUCUUUUAAAGGAAUCCAAUCUUGAAGCCCGAAUGAGGCAUACGCAGAGGAACGCAGGCUACGAGACAAAAUGCGAUAAUGCACAACCACCAGCUAGAAGACACAAUGGAAGCCAAGGCCCCGUUUACGACAGCAACAAAAGAGAUAAAAUACCUAUGAAUAAAUUUAACAAGAAAUGGGCGAGACCUGUGUGAGGACAACUUCACAACAUUCAUGAAAAAAACAAAAAUGGAAAUUCACAUGGUCAGGAAAAGUUAGUAUGACAGUGAUGUCUAUUCUUCCAAGUUAAUUUGCAAAUUGAAUGCAAUCGCCAUCAAAAUACUAAUGUGUUGCUUUCUCUGGGAUUAGUCAAGGGAUUUUAACUUCAAAUGGAAAAAUGAUUCAAAAAUAGGAGAAAUGAGGGGAAGGAGGGAGUGGCUAGCUCUAGCAGAUAUUAGUAAUCCAUGACUAAUCAGCUGUGAUCCUGGAGUACAGUCAUGGCAGACAGGACGGAGGCACAGGUAGGAAGUCCAGAAACAGCUGAGUCAGGUAAGUCCUUGCUGGGAGUGUGGCCAGGACGCGGUGGGACAGGAUGGCCAAGAAAAGGCACAGCCCUGGGGACAGCCCCACCUCGUAGCCUGUGUGUGCGCACGUGUGUGCAUGGGAGGACACGUGUGCAUGUGUGUGAGGACACGUGGGAGUGUGCAUGUGUGUGCAUGAGGACGUGUGUGCAUGUGUGUGGACACGUGUGUGCAUGUGUGUGAGGACACAUGUGAGUGUCUGAGGACACGUGUGUGCAUGUGUCUGAGGACACUUCUGUAUGUGUAGGCAUGUAUGUGAGGACACAUGUGAGUAAGGACACGUGAGUGAGUGUGUGAGAGGACACGUGUGUGAAUGUGUGAGGACACGUGUGUGUGCAUGUGUGAGGACACGUGUGUACUUGUGUGAGGACACGUGUGUGCAUGCAUGUGCGUGUGUGUAAGGACGUGUGAGUGCAUUUGUGAGAGGACACGUGUGUGCAUGUGUGAGAGGACAUGUGUGUGCGUGCAGGUGCGUGUAAGGACACAUGUGAGUGUGUGUGUGAGAGGACACGUGUGUGCAUGUGUGUGAGGACAUAUAUGUACAUGUGUGCUAUGACGUGUGUGCAUGUGGAUGCGUGUGAGGACACUUGUGAGUGUGCAUGUGUGUCCACAUGUGUGGGGACAUGUGCAUGCCAGUGUGUGCCUGUGUGCACAUGCAUGUACAUAUGUGCACGCACACGUGUGUCCCAGGCUGCCCCAAGGCUCAGACAAGCUUCCCCCACAGGAGCUGCCAUUUUCCUCCAGAAACAGGAUUUCCUCCCAAAACCCCAGGAAUUACCGACCCCCAACCCAGCAGGAGACUCCGACAAAACGGCGCCUUCCCCCGCCCUUCCCACCUGCCGCCCCAGACCUCAAAGCAGAGGCACCUCCCACCCCCACACUCUGCACUCC